rnacentral:rRNA from 1 species
CGGAGGUGCAAGCGUUAAAUCGGAAUUACUGGGCGUAAAAGCGCACGCAGGCGGCUUUUUUAAGUCGGAUGUGAAAGCCCCGGGCCUCAACCUGGGAAUUGCAUCUGAUACUGGGAAGCUAGAGUAUGUGAGAGGGGGGUAGAAUUCCAAGUGUAGCGGUGAAAUGCGUAGAGAUUUUGGAGGAAUACCAGUGGCGAAGGCGGCCCCCUGGCACAAUACUGACGCUCAGGUGCGAAAGCGUGGGGGAGCAAACAGGAUU